GGCGUUGUGGCCGAGUGGCUAGGCAGAGCUCUGCAAAAGCUCGUACAGCGGUUCGAAUCCGCUCAACGCCUCAA
rnacentral:tRNA from 3 species